UCUCUGUUGGUGAACCAGCGGAGGGAUCAUUACAGGACUCGCAAGACUCCUACAACCCUGUGAACCUAACUAUAAGCACGUUGCUUCGGCGGGUGUCUCGGAGGGGGUUCUCCCUCGCCGAGACGCUAAACCCGCCGGCAGCCUACUAUACUCUGUCUCUUUGCGUUGGCAUCUCGAGUACAAUCAAACAAGUUAAAACUUUCAACAACGGAUCUCUUGGUUCUG
rnacentral:misc_RNA from 1 species